UACCCCUCUGAAACUGGUCUCCAUUGAAUUGGUUUGACUUUGUCCAUGAGAGAUCAGAAAAGGGACCUGGCUUCUAGGGGAAAACUCGGUCAUGGAACUGAAGGGACAGAGAGCAAAUGAAACCAAGCAAACCAGGGCUAACCCCAGUCACCCCUGGGGCACCCUCUCCAACACACCAGGGUGCCGCUGAAGGAAUGUUGUGGGUUUAUUGGCUAUGAAAUGGAAUGAUUGCAAGCCAGGGUUUGAAUGAAGGGGGCAAAUGCAGCCCCUCAAUCCUCCAUCCUGCCUCAGUAAAAUACAGCAAUUGGCUUCAUUGAAUACGGUGUGAGGAGAGGAGCUUCAAGGAGCAGCGCUCAGCUCUCCUGGGGAAAUAUUCCAAUAAAACCCAGUUUCCUACUGACAGUGAAAUAAUACAAAUAAUCGAACACUGGGAGAAAGAACUUCCCGGGUGGCUUCUGCAUUGUCCUGCGGGGGCGGAGGGAGCCGGGGAAGCCGAGUGACUCGAUCCUGAGAAAGGGAUGGUGGAAAUCACAGACAGACAAGCCCCACUGGGUUAUCAGGGACACCCAGUUCCAGGCAUUGGGGUACCCACCCGGUACAUACCCGGACGCUUAAGUCAAAUGACUUGAACGCUGCAGCUUGCCCCUAAUGCCUUUAGGAGUCUAGUCAACAACAACCGAAGCGACCUGCCCCCAAAUUCAGCGUCCACCGAGCGCUGACAAACCACUUCGGAACUCGGCGAAAGUUUCUCCUGGCAAAAUCCGGCCGGAGCGCGACUGAACGGUCCGGCUCUGAGCCGGGAGACAAGCGCUCAGCGGCGCCCGGACCUGCCGGGAAGGCAUUGGGCGAGGGGAGCGGAGCACCACGAAGGCGCUCCGGAGCCGUGCACUUACCCAGGCGAGGAGGCAGCUGAGCACCGAGAGCCAAAGGCAGGCUGCUGGCGGCUCCAUGCCGGCUGGGGUGGAGGAGAAAGGGGGCCCCCCGGUUCCGGUGCCCCCCACGCCAGCGGCUUGCUGCCCCGCUCCCUUCCUGCGGCGGGGAGUUCAGGCGAGGCAGAGGGGAUCCUCCGGGCGAGGGAUCCCGGCCCGGGCUGAAGUUGGGUGUUUCCUUUCCGGGAUCCCGGCGGAACGCACCUGCCGCGGCUCAGCGCUGCCGAGCCCGAGCCAUCUCCGCUCCUCCGCGCUGCCCCGGUGCCACUGGGAGCCUCCGCCCGCGCUCCUCGCAGCGAAUCCCGGGCCGGAGGAGGGAGGAGGGUCACGCCGCAGCCGGGCGGCCACCCGCUGCUGGAGCCACCCCUGCCCGGGCUCCGCCCUCCGGCUGGGGCGGACGGGCGCUGGGGGGCUCGCCGCGCCGGCCAAUGGGAGCAGGCAGGUGGCCAGGAAUCCGGGCUGCGGGAGGGCUGCGGGAGUAGGCGGGGGGGGCGCCGCGGGGCUGGAGCGAUGGAUCCAGGGCAGGCAAGUGCCGCGGAACCGGGGGCGGGAUGUUCCGACAGUUCAGUCCGGGCUCGGUGCGGAGCUGGGCGGCCCCGCCCGGUGCACGUGUGAGCAGGGACAGGGACGCCGCCUGUUUGCGCCUUCCCCGCUGCAGCGUGCCAAGAAACAAGCCUGCUCCGGCCUCCACCUGACGCUAAGCCCAGCCCGGGGAGCUCGCGCAUUAAGCCUCACCUCUCCCCCGCGGAUCUGUCUGUCUGAUGAUGCAUGCAGCCCAUAA
rnacentral:lncRNA from 1 species